GGGUCUAGUGGCGCACGGGUGCGUAACGCGUGGGAAUCUGCCCCUCGGUUCGGAAUAACAGUUAGAAAUGACUGCUAAUACCGGAUGAUGACGUAAGUCCAAAGAUUUAUCGCCGAGGGAUGAGCCCGCGUAGGAUUAGCUAGUUGGUGGGGUAAAGGCCUACCAAGGCGACGAUCCUUAGCUGGUCUGAGAGGAUGAUCAGCCACACUGGGACUGAGACACGGCCCAGACUCCUACGGGAGGCAGCAGUGGGGAAUAUUGGACAAUGGGCGAAAGCCUGAUCCAGCAAUGCCGCGUGAGUGAUGAAGGCCUUCGGGUCGUAAAGCUCUUUUACCAGGGAUGAUAAUGACAGUACCUGGAGAAUAAGCUCCGGCUAACUCCGUGCCAGCAGCCGCGGUAAUACGGAGGGAGCUAGCGUUGUUCGGAAUUACUGGGCGUAAAGCGCACGUAGGCGGUUACUCAAGUCAGAGGUGAAAGCCCGGGGCUCAACCCCGGAACUGCCUUUGAAACUAGGUGACUUGAAUCUUGGAGAGGUCAGUGGAAUUCCGAGUGUAGAGGUGAAAUUCGUAGAUAUUCGGAAGAACACCAGUGGCGAAGGCGACUG
rnacentral:rRNA from 1 species